rnacentral:piRNA from 2 species
UAGAGCUUUUAGGUGUGCUGUCAAGCUGCU